AGUGGCGGACGGGUGAGUAACGCGUGGAUAACCUGCCUCAUACAGGGGGAUAACAGUUGGAAACGGCUGUUAAUACCGCAUAAGCGCACGAAAUCGCAUGGUUUUGUGUGAAAAACUCCGGUGGUAUGAGAUGGGUCCGCGUCUGAUUAGCUAGUUGGCAGGGUAACGGCCUACCAAGGCGACGAUCAGUAGCCGGCCUGAGAGGGUGUACGGCCACAUUGGGACUGAGACACGGCCCAAACUCCUACGGAAGGCAGCAG
rnacentral:rRNA from 1 species